CGGCUGGCGUUUUCCACCUCACCCCCAUCCAAAUCGUUGUCAGUGUAAUCCGUGGCUCCAGGGUGGAGGACGUACUUCUUCCUUCCUAAACGGGUCUGCUGAGUGAAGUAGUCGUAGCGUUCUGACUUCUUCCACAUGUAGUAAUACUCCACGCAUUCGCCCACUGACCGAGUGCGGACCUUGUUUGCCUGGAUAAGAUGGAAGUUUUUCCCAUGGACCCUGAAGCCAUGUUCAAAAUUCCUACAUUCUUCUUCACUCCAGGCACAGAGCUCAUCUCUGAUAACCUUCACGUUGAACCGUAACCUCCGUAAUGCCUCUUCUGCAUUGAAGUUGCAUUUCACCAGCUCAUACAAAGCCUGUUCGUUGUCUUUCACCAUCUCCCCUUCUGGCAGGCUGCUGCUAGACAGCUCGUCCCACCGCCGCUUCACAGCGCGGUAUAGGAACUCUUCAACCUCUCUUUCAGGUAGGAUGUUUGGGUCCCAAAGCAGCUGAUCUUCAUUUUCAUAGGCUUUUUCACUGUGCCUGUUUAAGUGGAGGAUGGGAACGGUGGCUUGGAACUGAGG
rnacentral:lncRNA from 1 species